GUUUCUAUAGCUCAGUGGGUCGGGGCAUGCUCAAAUAACGAAGGGCGUGGGUUCAAACCCCACUAGCAGCA